rnacentral:ncRNA from 1 species
CGUCUCUGGAAAGCGGUGGGAGCACCCACCCGCCCACGGGGAAAGGGCCGGUUCGUUCCGGUACCGAAUCUCUCAGGCGCUCGCUCGACGAGCUCGCGACAGAGGGGGAGGA